rnacentral:tRNA from 1 species
GAGGCAUAGCUCAGCUGGUUAGAGUGCUUGCUUGACAUGCAAGAGGUCAUUGGUUCGAUUCCAAUUGUCUCC